rnacentral:tRNA from 1 species
GCCACCUUAGCUCAAUUGGCAGAGCACUGGUUUUGUAAACCAGCGGUUGCCGGUUCAACUCCGGCAGGUGGCU